rnacentral:rRNA from 1 species
GACGAACGCUUGCGGCGUGCUUAACACAUGCAAGUCGAACGGAAAGGCCCUGCUUUUGUGGGGUGCUCGAGUGGCGAACGGGUGAGUAACACGUGAGUAACCUGCCCUUGACUUUGGGAUAACUUCAGGAAACUGGGGCUAAUACCGGAUAGGAGCUCCUGCUGCAUGGUGGGGGUUGGAAAGUUUCGGCGGUUGGGGAUGGACUCGCGGCUUAUCAGCUUGUUGGUGGGGUAGUGGCUUACCAAGGCUUUGACGGGUAGCCGGCCUGAGAGGGUGACCGGCCACAUUGGGACUGAGAUAUGGCCCAGACUCCUACGGGAGGCAGCAGUGGGGAAUAUUGCACAAUGGGCGGAAGCCUGAUGCAGCAACGCCGCGUGCGGGAUGACGGCCUUCGGGUUGUAAACCGCUUUCGCCUGUGACGAAGCGUGAGUGACGGUAAUGGGUAAAGAAGCACCGGCUAACUACGUGCCAGCAGCCGCGGUGAUACGUAGGGUGCGAGCGUUGUCCGGAUUUAUUGGGCGUAAAGGGCUCGUAGGUGGUUGAUCGCGUCGGAAGUGUAAUCUUGGGGCUUAACCCUGAGCGUGCUUUCGAUACGGGUUGACUUGAGGAAGGUAGGGGAGAAUGGAAUUCCUGGUGGAGCGGUGGAAUGCGCAAAUAUCAGGAGGAACACCAGUGGCGAAGGCGGUUCUCUGGGCCUUUCCUGACGCUGAGGAGCGAAAGCGUGGGGAGCGAACAGGCUUAGAUACCCUGGUAGUCCACGCUGUAAACGGUGGGUACUAGGUGUGGGGUCCAUUCCACGGGUUCCGUGCCGUAGCUAACGCUUUAAGUACCCCGCCUGGGGAGUACGGCCGCAAGGCUAAAACUCAAAGGAAUUGACGGGGCCCCGCACAAGCGGCGGAGCAUGCGGAUUAAUUCGAUGCAACGCGUAGAACCUUACCUGGGUUUGACAUGGAUCGGGAGUGCUCAGAGAUGGGUGUGCCUCUUUUGGGGUCGGUUCACAGGUGGUGCAUGGCUGUCCUCAGCUCGUGUCGUGAGAUGUUGGGUUAAGUCCCGCAACGAGCGCAACCCUUGUUCACUGUUGCCAGCACGUUAUGGUGGGGACUCAGUGGAGACCGCCGGGGUCAACUCGGAGGAAGGUGGGGAUGACGUCAAGUCAUCAUGCCCCUUAUGUCCAGGGCUUCACGCAUGCUACAAUGGCUGGUACAGAGAGUGGCGAGCCUGUGAGGGUGAGCGAAUCUCGGAAAGCCGGUCUCAGUUCGGAUUGGGGUCUGCAACUCGACCUCAUGAAGUCGGAGUCGCUAGUAAUCGCAGAUCAGCAACGCUGCGGUGAAUACGUUCCCGGGGCU